rnacentral:rRNA from 1 species
UAGGGAAUCUUCGGCAAUGGACGAAAGUCUGACCGAGCAACGCCGCGUGAGUGAAGAAGGUUUUCGGAUCGUAAAACUCUGUUGUUAGAGAAGAACAAGGACGUUAGUAACUGAACGUCCCCUGACGGUAUCUAACCAGAAAGCCACGGCUAACUACGUGCCAGCAGCCGCGGUAAUACGUAGGUGGCAAGCGUUGUCCGGAUUUAUUGGGCGUAAAGCGAGCGCAGGCGGUUUCUUAAGUCUGAUGUGAAAGCCCCCGGCUCAACCGGGGAGGGUCAUUGGAAACUGGGAGACUUGAGUGCAGAAGAGGAGAGUGGAAUUCCAUGUGUAGCGGUGAAAUGCGUAGAUAUAUGGAGGAAAACCAGUGGAGAAGGCGGCUCUCUGGUCUGUAACUGACGCUGAGGCUCGAAAGCGUGGGGAGCAAACAGG